rnacentral:rRNA from 1 species
GAGUUUGAUCGUGGCUCAGGAUGAACGCUGGCGGCGUGCCUAAUACAUGCAAGUCGAGCGAACGGACGAGAAGCUUGCUUCUCUGAUGUUAGCGGCGGACGGGUGAGUAACACGCGGAUAACCUACCUAUAAGACUGGGAUAACUUCGGGAAACCGGAGCUAAUACCGGAUAAUAUUUUGAACCGCAUGGUUCAAAAGUGAAAGACGGUCUUGCUGUCACUUAUAGAUGGAUCCGCGCUGCAUUAGCUAGUUGGUAAGGUAACGGCUUACCAAGGCAACGAUGCAUAGCCGACCUGAGAGGGUGAUCGGCCACACUGGAACUGAGACACGGUCCAGACUCCUACGGGAGGCAGCAGUAGGGAAUCUUCCGCAAUGGGCGAAAGCCUGACGGAGCAACGCCGCGUGAGUGAUGAAGGUCUUCGGAUCGUAAAACUCUGUUAUUAGGGAAGAACAUAUGUGUAAGUAACUGUGCACAUCUUGACGGUACCUAAUCAGAAAGCCACGGCUAACUACGUCG